UUUGGAAGAAGUCACAUCGGAUAGCCAUCUUGUGAUCAAGCUCUAUAAAUGCUUUGCUUAUUCAAGGACUUGUUCGUGUUGUUGACGUGCUGUUUAUACGCAUCUUCUAUACAUGGAAACAUAAAGUAUUCACGGAAAUUGUACAAGCAUAUUAUAACCUAAAUGACAAGAUAAAAAGAAGAUUAACUUUGUAUAACAUGAGAGAGAAACAGUUCUGCGACAAUCUGUAACUUAGAGCAUUUGGGCAACUGUAAAUGACCAGUUGAGAAGACAAGGGAAUACAUCCCCGAAGUCCUGACAUAUUUUAGAUUUAACAAGAGGGUAACCUAAAAAUGGAACUGAGAACGAGACCACCUGCAGGUAAACAAUAUUAUUAUAUCACCUAUAAAUAAACAAGUCCUAAACGGUUCAGUGUACGAUAUGCUAAGUAAAUAUAGUUUAUAAAUCAUGGGUUUUGUAUUUUCCAUAAGAAACAAUAUAAUCCAAUUUAGAUUUGGCCUUUUCUUGCUUUAGAGUUACAAAAUAUGUUAGAAUCCUUGUAAAUUGAUUCAUUCUUUCAAACUGACACAAAAAUGUUCUUUUGAAUCCUCUUUUUUCUCUAUGCUCAACAGAUUCAGAAAUAAGAAAUCAAAUCGAGUUUUGUAUAAGAUUUGUCCGGCCUUUAAAUGCGAUACCAUUAAAAAAUAUCAAGGCUGUUUUUGACGAACUACAUGAGAUCAAAGGAAAGGAAUUGGAUUUCAAACAUUGUAAUUUUCUCAUAAUGAAUCAAGUGUUUAUGUGGGCGUGCUAGUGCCGCCAUGACGCUAUUAUGAAUCUGACUUCAAUAUAAACGAAAUGUAACAAUAUGAACAUGACCGAACUGUAGUUUCAAAAAGUUGUCUUUAUACUUGUUUAUAAUAAAUAAUUAACAUAAAAUAUUUUUAUUGUAAAUAUAUUUAAUAACUUCUAUUCGAGUCAGUUUCAACCAAACUACAAGUAAAUGUGGUAAAGAAUAGCUUAUUAAUAUAUCUCUAAUAAUUUGUCGAUUGAAUGCUAUAGUGUUCUAUGUCCAAGUUGCUAAAAUAAGGAGUUUGACUGACCUUUGGAAUUCAUCUUAUCAUAUUCUUAGUCCAUGACCAAUCUGAAGUGUCGCAAUUUAAUUGUAAGAAAAGUCCAGAGAUAUUUAGCUUAAUGCCAGAAUCAUAUAACUCCACCUCUGAUUUAUGUGGGGAAGUUGGCAUUUACUUGCGGAGAACAGGUUUGUACUGGUACAGAAUCCAGGAACACUGGUUAGGUUAACUGCCCGCUGUUACAUGACUGAAAUACUGUUGAAAAAACGGCAUUAAACCCAAAACAAACAAACAAAUACGCUUAAAUGGGAUUAAGAAUAAUGUAGCAUUCAUCUCACGAUUUAAAAAAAAAAAAAAAAAAAAAAAAAAAACAACAUGUGUGUACAGGGUAGUGUGUGUUUAUUUAUAUGUAGGGGAGACCGGAGCACCACAUGGGCACCAUUGGGACAUCAGAUGUAACUUUUUUCUGGAAAGUAAACUGGUCUAUCUGAAUCGCUAAAAAUCUUGCCUUUUUCAAGCUGUUUUUUAACGGAGUUUGAAGGCGGGUGGAUUUAAAAUAAAACUUCAGUUUAGUGUUUUCAUUUUUUUUUACUACUCUCAGGAUAAAAAAACAUCACAAAUAUUGUCUCAUGAAGUUCUGCGGUAAACACUUUGAAAUCAUUUCUAUAUCACUAUAUAUAAAGUAUACAUUCAUUGAUAAUUUCACAAAAUGUUUAAUCCCAGUGAAGCAGAUGACCUUCAUAUUAUUUUGAAGAUGUAAGGGUGGUGGGGUUUGGGCACGAUGGGACACAUGCAAUUGGGCACUAUGGAACAGUGUUAAGUACAGCUGGAAGAAACCCACAAGCUAUCACAUCGGUAAAUUAAUGCAUACAAAUGUAAAAAACUUGACCUGUGAGUUUUCUGAAAUGUCAAUCCACGAAAAUGACAUUGUAAUAAACUUGCCUCUACCAAGCAAAACAGCAGGCACUGCAAAAGCUGAAAAUUGCUGAGAUCUGACCUCGACUUAACUCAUUAUUUCUGAGUAAAGGCAUGGAUAUUGUGACAUGCCAUUACUGGAUAAAUCAGUUAUGAGAAGUCAGUUUAUACUUUAAGUUGAGAAGUUAAUAAACAAAUAUGUUUAUUCAUUCAAUAUUGUUUUAUUUUUUAACCUAAAGCAUAAAUGUUGUCUCAGGUAGGUCUGUCAUUGUACUUAAUUGACAUUUGAUUCGUCUGUGUCUUAAUGAUGAUGUUUUAGAAUUGUCAUUGCAACUAGGAUGAAGUAAAGUCCAUAGAUUUGUUUAUAUUUCAAUAAAAUUAAAGAUUUAAGGUUGUUUCAAGUUAAAGGUAGGUCUGUCGUUGUAAUUGACUGGCAAUUGAUUAGUCUCUUUCUUGAUGUUGAUGUUUAAGCAUUUUUUUAUCAUUGCAGUUCAGCUGGAAUAAAGUUUAGAGAUUUGUUUUUAUAUGUCAUUGUCCCAUGGUUGUCAUGAUGUGUCCCGUGGUGCCCCGGAUUCGGGUUACAAUGGGACAUUUUAGUGGUAGUCUUCUAUGAUGCAUAUCUCAGAAACGAUAGCACAAAACAUGACCAUUGACUACCCCUCAUGUACAUGAAAUAUUAUACUUCAAAAUAGUAUGGCAAUCACAGAAAGUUACUUCGAAAUGUUUUAGAACAACGAAAAAAUGUUUGUCCCAAUGUGCCCAGUCUCUCCUAGUAUAUUGCUGAUAUUGUUUCUCGACUCACUUUAAUGUCAUAUGAAUUACCGCGCAAUGUCAGUUUAACUUUAUUCAGUUUUACAGAGUCACAGUAGUCACAUGUAUAUCUUGUAUCAUUAGCUUUAUAAACAUUUAUAAUACUGUAGUACUUAAGUCGUUUGCUUCUGAAUUUCGUGUAAAUGAAACGAAAAGUGGAGACCUACCCAAGAAAAUCUAAGGCGAACAACUCUGAAUUGACCAAUAAACUGAUGCCAACAUAAAUCAUUGGUCAAAAGUGAAAGAAAAAUCAAAUAGGUCCUUUUACCAACAACUGAUCAGGCAGACAAAUAUGACCUAAAUUUGUUUAAAUCUCUUUGUAUUCAAUAUACAACAUGCACACUUUUCUCAUAGCUUACACUGACAGUUAUUUUAUAAGUUGUAGUGAGGCCCUGAUAGAAAGUUUGAUCUUUAAAAAAAAAAAAUUGGUAUCACGUUUAUGUAACAACGUAGCUAGACUGGUUAUAUUCAUCGUUUCAGCUAAUCAUUUUGAAAGUGUUUCUUUUGCAUGAUUCAUUUGAUUCAGAAGCAUUUCUGUGACUGUUCAAGAGUACUUUGCUACAAAUAAUGUAACACAAAACGUAAGAGUCAUCAACUGAAAUUACAACAUAUUAAAGUAUAUACUCUAUACAGUUAUAGGACAAGGGUAGAGAAGGAAAUUCUCCUAGAUUGCUAAGAUGGUGCAUAUAAUUAAUAUUAAAACCCAAAGUCAAUAAAAUGGACAUUAACAUUCAGCAGUGGAGCUAUAGAUUACAACAGUGGUCAAAUCUGGACAAUGUGUGAAAUGAUAAGGAGGAAUGUGUAAGACAAAACAUUGUGAUACCAUACAGUAUAAAAUGUCAUACCUCAUAAAUGUGAAACAACUCUGUUCAAGCAUCACUGAAGUCAUUAAAAAUGUCAAGGUUAUUAUGAUAUAUAUGAAACAAAAACUUGUGAAUUAAAAUACAAUUAACAUGUAAAUUAAAAAAUAUUGAAGAAGACAUACAGAAAAGUACUUUAGUUUAAAACUUGUCAUAUAGAUUCAAGUGUAACUCAGAUACUAAAUCAAUUAUUUUUGAGCUCUGAAAUUACGAAAAAUGGAAACAUGCAUAAUACUUUAAUACAUAACUGUAAUUACUUAAACAUGUCAUUCUUUUGUUAUAAAUGUGUACAGUCAACAAACUGAUUUAACAUUAGGACACAUAAAAGGAAGUGCCUUGGGGUAUGAAUCCGUAUCUGUAGACAAGCCUGUUAGCGUUUUUCUAGGGUAGGGACUUCCUUAAAGUUUUAAAGCCAUACGACAAACAGUUAAGGCAAAAUAUGGACUAUCAUGAACAAUUUAACUGAUCUCCAAGUCCAAAAAGUGCCAUAAUUCAGGCAAAAUAGUUGACAGAGUUAUGUACUCUUGCCUACAAAUGGAAAUCAUGAUGAUAAGCAAGUGUUCAGUGUCAAAUAGUUUUGGACUUGUACAAAAACUGAACCAAUUUCAAAGUCCAAAACGGGCCAUAAUUCUGCCAGACUAUUUGUCAGAGUUAUGUACUUUUGCCUACAGAUAGAGGUUGUUAUGAUAAUCAAGUGAUAAAUGUUUCAAAGCCAUAUGUCAAACACCUUACAUAAAAUAUGAACUGGUACGAAAAACUAAACCAAGAAUUUCAAGUCAAAAGGGCCCAUAAUUAAGCCAAAAUCGUUGAUGGAGUUAUGUACUCUUGCCUAUAACUGGACAUAGUGAUGGUAAACAAGUGUUGAAAGUGUCAAAGCUUUAUCUCAAAAGACUUUGUCAAAAUGUGGACUGUUACAAAAAUAUUAACCAAGGUGUGACGCCACCGCCGACGCCCUGGUGAGUAGGAAAGCUCAUUCUUCGAAAUGUCGAGGUAAUAGGCAUAAAAAUAUUACCUAUUUAUUUUGUUAUUAAGCAAGAUAUAAUGAUAAUCGACAAGGAACUGAUUAUUUAAUAAUGCAUUAACCGACAUUAAGUAAAAGAAACUGUUCGUGAAAACGUCCCUUGUAUCUCGUAACGGCUACUAAAUGUCUGGAAAACAUAAAUACUCUACGGGUAAAUUAUCGUUAAAAAUAGUUUUGUUUUCAUAACAUAUUUAACAUUCUUUUGUUUAAUCUUUAUAUCUUUGUGUCUGCCAGUUCGAAUCCUCAUGAUUUAUUUGGUGUUUCUCGAUUAUUUACCUUUCGAAAGAUCGGGUGAACUUUGUUAUCUGUAAACCAUCUAGAUCCAAGAUUAAGGUGAAUACUGAUGAAGGCUUGCUUGUUAUUUCAUUUUCAA